rnacentral:lncRNA from 1 species
GACACUAGAAUUAGGGGUACAAGAUACCCACCUGAGAGAAAAGAAAAAGAAAAUAUAGAGCAUCUCAUUCUCCUCAAAAAGCUUCAAAGUGCAAGAAAGGUAUGUAUCCCCUCAAAAGAGCAAAAAUAGAAUUAGACUUUCACCAUUGUUAUCACCAUCAUCACCAUACACCAUUCAUUCGCCACACAUGCACAUCUUGAUUUGACUUAUUGACUUGUUUCUCUGGAUCCAUGGUUUGACUAUGCAAUAAAUGUCUUGUAAGUAUGUAUUAGCUGUCUCCCACCCAUGAGCUCCAGAUAUCAAAACCUUAUUAGAGUAGGGUGAGAGAGAAGGCAAUAUCACUAUGCCUUAUACCAAAAAUACCACAUACUUUGAGAGAAUGUAUAUACCAUUACUGCCUUGGAAAGGAUCUAGAAAUACCACA